rnacentral:lncRNA from 12 species
GGGGGGGGGGGGGGGGGGGGGGGGGGGGGGGGGGGGGGGGGGGGGGGGGGGGGGGCAAUCAUGGGGUGGGGGGAGGGGAGUCCCCAAGCCCCUGUUGAGCUUACUCGGACGUUACUCACACUUUACUCCGGGGUUACUCCGGGGUUACUCAGACUUUACUCCAGAGUUACUCCAGGGUUACUCAGACUUUACUCCACGGCAGCUCAGGCCCAGCUCUGCGGCCACACCUGCCCUACUCCAGCCUUACUCCACGACUACUCAGCCUCUUCUCGCUCCUCUGCUUCUACUCUCGAUUACUCCGAGGUUACUCCAAGGUUACUCCAAGGUUACUCCAAGGUUACUCCGAGCUUUCUCAGCGCUUCCGUCGAGGUUGCUCAGGACUCGCUCCCUGCGCGGAUUUUACUCUGGAGUUACUCACGGGCCGGGCGGGGCCUUUACUCAGCUCUUACUCUGAAGUUCCUCAGUCCCUGCUUGGAACUUACUCCAGGCUUCCUGCUGGAGAUCCUUACUCCGAGUUUACUCCGAGUUUACUCAGCCUUGGAGGCACUUGGGACUCACUCCAGCCUCACUCACGCGGCUCCUCCCUCCGGCCUUGCUCAGCUCCCCCCCGUGUUGUUCCCGCUCCUGUGGCGCUGCUCACACUUUACUCCUGGUUGGAUCCUCUUUGCCUUCGCUCCGCGCUUACUCCGCCGUUACUCAGCGCUUCUGCGGGAAGCUCAGCCUCUACUCAGAGCUUACUCAGCCUCUACUCAGAGCUUAUUGGGCCUCUACUCAGAGCUUACUCGGCCUUUACUCAGAGCUUACUCGGCCUCUACUCAGAGCUUACUCGGCCUUUACUCAGAGCUUACUCGGAGGUUACUCAGCCUUUACUCAGAGGUUACUCAGCCCCGGAUCUGGACGCACUCGACUUUGCUGCGCUGAGGUUCCUCAGACUCUGCUCAGCUGGGAGGGAUCAGUCCCUACUCAGGAGUUACUCAGCCUUUACUCCGAGAGCACUCGGCCACCGCUGCUCACCCGUCCCCACGCUGGGGCUGAGCAGACGCUACUCCAGGGUUACUCACGGUUUACUCCAGGGCGAAUGUUUUACUCUGGGGUUACUCACGGUUUACUCCAGAGUUACUCACGUUUUACUCUGAGGUGAUGGUUUACACCAGGGGACAUUUCACUCGGGUUACUCACGUUUUACUCCAAGGGUGACACUUUACUCCAGAGUUACUCAUGGUCUGCUCUGAGGUGACGCUUUCCUCUGAGGGUGGCGUUUACUAUGGAGUUACUCAGACUACUCUGGGGUUACUCAGAUUUUACUCUGAGAUUACUCAGACUCUACUCUGGGCUUACUCAUAUUUUACUCCGGGGUUACUCAGAUUUACUCCAGAGUUACUCAGACUUUACUCUGGGGUUACUCACACUUCACUCCGAGGUCACUCCCCCCCUCCCCCAAGGGACACUCUGCACGCCCCGGCUACUCCUGGGUUACUCACACGUUACUCCGAGGUUACUCCCCCUCACUCGGGGGGGGGGGGGGGGGGGGGGGGGGGGGGGGGGGGGGGGGGGGGGGGGGG